rnacentral:rRNA from 1 species
AACGAACGCUGGCGGCAGGCCUAACACAUGCAAGUCGAACGCAUCCUUCGGGGUGAGUGGCGCACGGGUGAGUAACAAGUGGGAAUGUGCCCUUUGGUUCGGAAUAACGUCUGGAAACGGACGCUAAUACCGGAUGUCCUCUGCGGGGGAAAGAUUUAUCACCAAAGGAGCAGCCCGCGUCUGAUUAGGCAGUUGGUGGGGUAAAGGCCUACCAAGCCGACGAUCAGUAGCUGGUCUGGGAGGAUGCUCAGCCACACUGGGAGUGAGACACGGCCCAGACUCCUACGGGGGGCAGCAGUGGGGAAUAUUGGACAAUGGGCGCAAGCCUGAUCCAGCCAUGCCGCGUGAGUGAUGAAGGCCUUCGGGUUGUAAAGCUCUUUCGCACACGACGAUGAUGACGGUAGUGUGAGAAGAAGCCCCGGCUAACUUCGUGCCAGCCGCCGCCGUAAAAC